GGGGACCUUCGGGGCCCUUCAUCCACCACGGACCAUGGGUCCAAAGCAACGGAAGACAGAGA
ncrna:unclassified sequences L2-Alphaproteobacteria ribosomal protein leader